GUGGGGAGAGAGGAGGGGCGAGGAGGUAAGGAGUAGUUAUGUCGGUGCGCGGUGGUGGGAGGAUGUCAGGAGGGGGGUGGGGCGUCGGUCCUCCACUCACGAGCAGCACUCCUUCGGUGUCCUCCUCGAGUUGGCCCGCAGCGGCCGGUCUCUUCCUCCUCUCCACGCCUACGGUCGGUCCCUCCGUCUAGCCCAGCGGAGGUAGCAGUUAUGUCGGCGGCGCGGUGGUGGGUGGAGACAAGUACUCCUUCGGAGUCCUCCUCCGCUCGGGAGUAACGCUCCUUCGGCGUCUUCCUCCUUGAGUUGACACACAGCGGCCGGCCUCUUCCUCCUCCCCGCGCCUACGGUUGGUCCCUCCGCAUAGCUGAGCGGAAGCGCCAACCUUUCCCACGCGACACAGGUAGAACCAAGACCACUUAACUAAACCCCUUGAGAACUUUAGACAAAGAACAUAUAACCGGUACCAUUAAGAAGUGGACUGUAAGACGUUACCGAAGGUUGGUCCAUUAAUCAAGUGUACCCGACGGUAAAGGGUAGGGAAGGAUGAAAUUAUGUAUACGAAUCCGGUUAACUAACGAAUAAGAUCCAAACAAUCAAACACAUAGUAAGUACGGUACCAUGAAAAACAACGAGAGACACAAUCCAAUGAAUCUUGUCAUAUCAGUUUACGCUUUUUUAUAUUAGUCCAACCCUUUUCACCUUUCACAGGUAAAUAAUCCUUGAUUGAUUAAUAAGAAUACUACGUAAAAGCGCAUGGUACGACGUUACGACGUAAUCAAAAACCGGCUUUGAAGAACGAAUCUAUACCGGUAAAAUAAAAACGAUGUGGUACCAAUCAAUCGACUCGAUAAAUUUAUGUUAAAAUCCCAAAAGAACAACGACGAUAAGGAGUACCUAUAAGUUGUCCAUUGAAGCGUGGAUUACAGUUAUCCUACGAAUAGCCACUGCUCCCUUUACUUUCUUCCUACGUUACCUUAAACAUGAUCUUCAAAGAGGUACUACCGUGUAAGGUGGAUCUUUCUCGUAGUUCCGGCUGCUGGGACAAAAACAAGAUAUCCGUAGAGAAGAUGCUUACUUCGAGGUCGGAUUCGUUCCCGUACCAAACAUCUAAUAAAUAGACGAAAUACACACAGUCUUCUCCGUCGGAUAACGAACUAAAACAUGCGAACAAGACAUUUGAUUUGAAUCGUUACUUCGUAACUGUUAACACAAACAACAGUAGAGGGUCCAAAACUCUCGACUACUACUAAGAUAAUUUUCAGGGAACAACGGACCUUGUAAAUACAGAGACGUUUGUUGUAUUGAUUCCAAUAUACCAAAGGUUACACUGAUUUCUAGAUUUAAGAACAACCCACAUCAAAGAUUUCGUGCCUCAACGACUUUUUACCUUUCUAAAAGUUGCCCGGUACUAAAAGUAACCCUGAAACACGAUGGUUUAAUACACAUAUAUGUAGAGUAACAUGUAUUGUUAGGUGAUAAAAAACGACGAUUUCCCCUAAUCUAAACAAUGGUAUACACAAACGGG
rnacentral:rRNA from 1 species